rnacentral:rRNA from 1 species
CUUCGGGUCGUAAAGCUCUGUCCUCAAGGAAGAUAAUGACGGUACUUGAGGAGGAAGCCCCGGCUAACUACGUGCCAGCAGCCGCGGUAAUACGUAGGGGGCUAGCGUUAUCCGGAAUUACUGGGCGUAAAGGGUGCGUAGGUGGUUUCUUAAGUCAGAGGUGAAAGGCUACGGCUCAACCGUAGUAAGCCUUUGAAACUGGGAAACUUGAGUGCAGGAGAGGAGAGUGGAAUUCCUAGUGUAGCGGUGAAAUGCGUAGAUAUUAGGAGGAACACCAGUUGCGAAGGCGGCUCUCUGGACUGUAACUGACACUGAGGCACGAAAGCGUGGGGAGCAAACAGGAUUAGAUAC